rnacentral:misc_RNA from 1 species
CUUUUGUCACGAAACCCUAGAAAAUUCCACAACCCCAAAUUUACAGAGCCUAGAUUCCAUCUCCAUCGUAGAAAUCUCCCAUCAAUUUCGCCGAUAAACCCCAAUUCCUUACCCUAACGUAGCUCAUUUCCUACAAAUUUCUCUUUCUAAACCCUAGAUCUGAUCCACAUUUCUGAAUCACCUCAGUUUGAAAAAAAAUUGACUGAUUGAGGUGGUUAUUGUUGAAAUUUUCACGUAUGGUGGACAUGGGAAGGGUUGAAACAGAGGCAAUUGCCAAACCCUCCUCAUCGUCCUCAUCUUCAUCAUCAUCAUCUGCGGUGACCACGUCAACAUCGGUGACUGAGACGG